GGGGAUAUAACUCAGUUGGUAGAGUGCUUGCCUUGCCUGCAUAAGGAUCUGGGUUCAAUCCCCAGCACCA
rnacentral:tRNA from 1 species